rnacentral:rRNA from 1 species
AACGUAGGUGGCGAGCGUUAUCCGGAUUUACUGGGCGUAAAGGGUGUGCAGGCUGCCCCUCAAGUGGUGUAUGAAAGGGCUCGGCUCAACCGGGCUAGGUUAUGCCAGACUGAGGGGCUAGAGAGCGAGAGCGGGACGUGGAAUUCCGGGUGUAGUGGUGAAAUGCGUAGAGAUCCGGAGGAACACCGGUGGCGAAGGCGACAUCCUGGACCGGCAUUGACGCUGAGGCGCGAAAGCCAGGGGAGCAAACGGG